GAUGAACGCUAGCGGCAGGCUUAACACAUGCAAGUCGAGGGGUAUAGUUCUUCGGAAUUAGAGACCGGCGCACGGGUGCGUAACGCGUAUGCAAUCUACCUUUCACAGAGGGAUAGCCCCAGAGAAAUUUGGAUUAAUACCUCAUAGUAUAGCAGUUUCGCAUGAAACCACUAUUAAAGUCACAACGGUGAAAGAUGAGCAUGCGUCCCAUUAGCUAGUUGGUAAGGUAACGGCUUACCAAGGCAACGAUGGGUAGGGGUCCUGAGAGGGAGAUCCCCCACACUGGUACUGAGACACGGACCAGACUCCUACGGGAGGCAGCAGUGAGGAAUAUUGGACAAUGGGCGCAAGCCUGAUCCAGCCAUGCCGCGUGCAGGAUGACGGUCCUAUGGAUUGUAAACUGCUUUUAUACAGGAAGAAACACUACUUCGUGAAGUAGCUUGA
rnacentral:rRNA from 1 species